rnacentral:lncRNA from 1 species
CGUUUCCGCCGAGGAAAGCGGCAAGGGAAUUCUGCGAUCAUGGGCUAGUCCAAGGCUCAGUUUGAUUUAUGAAGUGAGACCUAGGAGCCUGGAUUGAACAGAUUGGCUUGCAAGAGACAGCUGUACUAGAGGAGCUGCUGCCAGUGCAUUAUACAAGUCGAGGACACGGUAGAGACUCAUCACAUACACCGCAGAUCAUCGAGUAUAUGAACACCCCACAUAACCUGUUCUCCUAGGUAUACAAGCAAACCCAGAAAAAAGAUCUGAGUUGCCCCGGAUGACAAAGCCAAUUCAUGCCUAAGGAGAGACUAGAAUUCAGUGAUGCUGUCGUUUUCUACUACACC